CUUGUUUCUCUCUGCAGAUCCUAAGUAAUACACCCGGCUGUCCGCUGCCCUGGACCGUGAUAUCAUCUAUCGUCGACUAUAUCGAUCUAAUCUAGGAAAUGGUAUGAAAAGAUUCUUACAUAUAUAUUUAUAUGGAUCGAACUAUAAAUGAGUUCUUUUAGGUGGCGCCGGAAGAUAUGAAUCGCAGAGGCAAAAAAGGGAUAUUAUGUCAAUGUAAGAAGUGUGAAAACGGAGUUUUGAUUGACCCUUCCACUGGUCGUUGGAAGAUGCACCUGUUGAAACAUAGUUUCAUGCCUAGUUACGCACGAUGGACAAGUCAUAGUGAGGACGAGGAGGAUACCGGAGUCGAAGAUGGGGCGACAGUACAUGAUGAUAAGCCAGAAGGAGGCAUGAAGAAAGAUGCCGGACAUUAAAAUCAGCCGAACGGACACGACGUCCGUGCAGAGGUUCAGGAAGUGAGAAGUCUUUUGUACAAAAGACAGAAAGAACAAAGCGAUAAAGAUUUGUCCAAGAAGGAAGAUCUAGAUGAGCAUGAUGAUGAUAAACAAUCUAGCAUCUAUCAUGAAGAAAGUGAAGUCCAGCUCAAAACAGUGUACGAAAAGAAGCCGAAACAUGUUGUUGGGUAGUGUAGAAAGUUCUGUUGAGAGAAUUCAGAAACGACGAUGCACUUAACUAAUUAUAUAUGUAUCUUUUAUUAUUAAGCAUCACUGUAGUGUGUAUCGACUGUAUGUGUAUUUCAAUCUUAAUAAAAUAAAUAUAGCUACA